rnacentral:rRNA from 1 species
GAAUCGCUAGUAAUCGUGGAUCAGAAUGUCACGAUGAAUACGUUCCCGGGCCUUGUACACACCGCCCGUCACACCAUGGGAGUGGACUGCACCAGAAGUGGUUAGCCUAACUUCGGAGGGCGAUCACCACGGUGUGGUUCAUGACUGGGGUGAAGUCGUAACAAGGUAGCCGUAGGGGAACCUGCGGCUGGAUCACCUCCUUAA